rnacentral:rRNA from 1 species
CGGUGAAACCGCGAAUGGCUCAUUAAAUCAGCUAUGGUUUAUUGGAUCGUAAUCGUUAAAUGGAUAACUGUAAUAACUCUAGAGCUAAUACAUGCCACGAAGCCCUGACCUCGGCCGCAAGGUUGAGGAAUGGGUGCACUUAUUAGAUCAGAAGCCAACCAGUGUUUGCAUGGGCAACUGUGCAAGCAUUGUAGCACUUCUGGUGACUCUGGAUAAUUGUUACAGAUCGCAGUCGGCUUUACGUCGGCGACGGAUCCUUCAAAUGUCUGCCCUAUCAACCUUCGAUGGUAGGUGACCUGCCUACCAUAGUGAUAACGGGUAACGGGGAAUCAGGGUUCGAUUCCGGAGAGGGAGCCUGAGAAACGGCUACCACUUCCAAGGGAGGCAGCAGGCGCGCAAAUUACCCACUCCCGGCACGGGGAGGUGGUGACGAAAAAUACCGAUGCGGGACUCAUUUACGAGGCUCCGUAAUCGGAAUGAGUGGACUCUAAAUCCUUUCACGAGGAUCAAUUGGAGGGCAAGUCUGGUGCCAGCAGCCGCGGUAACUCCAGCUC